CGCUUUAUAUAAUGCAAGAAGGCAGCUGCAAGGACACGAGGAUGUGAAAGAGCCAGUGCAGUGCGGCUUCACGUAGUGCAGAGGAGCGAAUGCCAAGAAAUCAAAAUACAUUGGCAUGCAAUUUGGACACAAAAACUAGUAUGGACAACCCAGGACGUGCAUUUCUCAGCAUCCAGUCAACUGCCAGAAGUGACUCAAACACAGGCCACCAGUGGAACUCGGCUGUACCACUGCAGUGCUGCGGAAAUUGCCAGCACCAGCGCCUUUGCAACAGCUGUUUCGCAGCAUGUCGGUAUGUGCAAAUUUAUAGUUAUGUUGGGAUGGGCUAGUAUUAUGGACCACUGCUACUCUGUAUUGUGACGGAUCCAUAUGAUAAGGGAUGUAAUGGGCACAGC